CAUAUACACACCAACUAACACAAAGAUACAUAUAUAUAUAUAUAUAUAUAUGUGUGUAUCUUUGUGUUAGUUGGUGUGUAUAUG